GAAGAAAGUAAUAAAGAGUACACGGGGGAUGCCUUGGCUCUCGGAGGCGAUGAAGGACGUGAUAAGCUGCGAUAAGCAUCGGGGAUCUGCAAAUGAGAAUUGAUCCGGUGAUUUCCGAAUGGGGCAACCCGGCAUGUUGAAGACAUGUCACAAUAAGAGCGAACCUGCCGAACUGAAACAUCUAAGUAAGCAGAGGAAUAGAAAAUAACAAUGAUUUCCUAAGUAGUGGCGAGCGAAAGGGAAAGAGCCCAAACCAAUAUUGUUACGGCAAUGUUGGGGUUGUAGGACUGUGAUGUGGUUAUAAUGCAGCGAAGUGGAACGGGAUGGGAAGCCCGGCAAUAUAGCGUGAGAGCCGCGUACACGUAAGCACCAUUAGCCUAACAGUAUCCUGAGUACCGCGAGGUCGGAGACGCCUUGUGGGAAUCUGCCGGCACCAUCCGGUAAGGCUAAAUACUCCCGAGAGACCGAUAGUGAACCAGUACCGUGAGGGAAAGGUGAAAGAACCCCGAACAGGGGAGUGAAAUAGAACCUGAAACCGUGUACUUACAAGCGGUCGGAGCACCUUCGUGGUGUGACGGCGUGCCUUUUGCAUAAUGAGCCUACGAGUUACUCUUCACUGGCAAGGUUAAGUGCUUUAGGCACGGAUCCGAAGCGAAAGCGAGUCUGAACAGGGCGCAUAGUCAGUGGAGGUAGACGCGAAACCUUGUGAUCUACCCUUGGGCAGGUUGAAGGUGCGGUAACACGUACUGGAGGACCGAACCGAUAAACGUUGAAAAGUUUCCGGAUGACCUGAGGGUAGGGGUGAAAGGCUAAUCAAACUGGGAAAUAGCUCGUACUCCCCGAAAUGUUUUUAGGAACAGCGUCGGUGUUGAGUUAUAUAGAGGUAGAGCUACUGAUUGGGUGCGGGGAGUCAAAUCCUACCAAAUCCAGACAAACUCCGAAUGCUAUAUAAUAUAACCGGCAGUGAGGCUCAGGGUGCUAAGGUCCUGGGCCGAGAGGGAAAGAACCCAGACCAUCAGCUAAGGUCCCUAAAUUAUAGUUAAGUUGAACUAACGAGGUGCGGUUGCAUAGACAGCUAGGAUGUUGGCUUGGAAGCAGCCAUUCAUUUAAAGAGUGCGUAACAGCUCACUAGUCGAGCGGCCGUGCAUGGAUAAUAAACGGGCAUCAAACUAUAUACCGAAGCUAUGGGAUUGAAAUAUAUCGGUAGGGGAGCAUUCUGGCGGCAGUGAAGUUGCAGCGUGAGCUGUGGUGGAGCUUCCAGAAAAGCAAAUGUAGGCAUAAGUAACGAUAAGGCGGGAGAGAAACCCGCCCACCGAAAGGAUAAGGUUUCCUGAUCAACGCUAAUCGGAUCAGGGUUAGUCGGGGCCUAAGGCGAACCCGAAGGGGGUAGUCGAUGGACAACGGUUUAAUAUUACCGUACCUUUUAUAGAUGCGAUGUGGGGACGGAGUAGUGGAACUGCCGCGAUCUGACGGAAUAGAUCGUUGAAGGCUGUAGGUAUAGGACUGGUAGGCAAAUCCGCCGGUCCUGCUGAACGCUGAUAGUACCGCGAGCCUUCGGGCAAGUGGAUAGCGCAGGUAAUCAGACUUCCAAGAAAAACCGCUAAGCUCCAGUCUAUAAAAGCCCGUACCGCAAACCGACACAGGUAUCCGGGAAGAGGAUUCUAAGGUGCUCGAGUGAAUCAUGGCUAAGGAACUCGGCAAAAUGGCCCUGUAACUUCGGGAGAAGGGGCGCUGGCAGCAAUGUCAGCCGCAGUGAAAAGGCCCAGGCGACUGUUUAACAAAAACACAUGGCUUUGCAAAAUCGAAAGAUGAGGUAUAAGGCCUGACACCUGCCCGGUGCUGGAAGGUUAAGAGGGGAUGUCAGCCGCAAGGCGAAGCAUUGAAUCGAAGCCCCAGUAAACGGCGGCCGUAACUAUAACGGUCCUAAGGUAGCGAAAUUCCUUGUCGGGUAAGUUCCGACCUGCACGAAUGGUGUAACGAUCUGGGCGCUGUCUCAGCCAUGAGCUCGGUGAAAUUGUGGUCCCGGUGACGCCGGGUACCCGCAACGGGACGGAAAGACCCCAUGCACCUUCACUACAGUUUAACAUUGACAUUGGGUACAGGAUGUGUAGGAUAGGUGGGAGGCUUUGAAGCGGCGUCGCCAGGCGUCGUGGAGCCAACGUUGAAAUACCACCCUUUCUGUAUUCGGUGUCUAACCCCGCUGAGCGGGGGACAUUGUUUGAUGGGUAGUUUGACUGGGGUGGUCGCCUCCAAAAAGGUAACGGAGGCUUUCAAAGGUAAGCUCAGUACGCUUGGUAACCGUACGGGGAGUGCAAUAGCAUAAGCUUGCUUGACUGUGAGGCAUACAGGCCGAUCAGGGUCGAAAGACGGAUAUAGUGAUCCGGUGGUUCUGCAUGGAAGGGCCAUCGCUCAAAGGAUAAAAGGUACGCUGGGGAUAACAGGCUGAUCUCCCCCAAGAGCUCAUAUCGACGGGGAGGUUUGGCACCUCGAUGUCGGCUCGUCACAUCCUGGGGCUGGAGAAGGUCCCAAGGGUUCGGCUGUUCGCCGAUUAAAGUGGCACGCGAGCUGGGUUCAGAACGUCGCGAGACAGUUCGGUCCCUAUCUGUUGUGGGCGUUGGAAUCUUGAGUGGGGCUGACCUUAGUACGAGAGGACCGGGUUGGACCAGCCUCUAGUGAACCUGUUGUUCCGCCAGGGGCAUUGCAGGGUAGCUACGCUGGGAAUAGAUAAGCGCUGAAAGCAUCUAAGUGCGAAACUAGCCACGAGAUGAGGAUUCCAUAUAGGGCCGUAGCAGACUACUACGUUGAUAGGAUACAGAUGUAAAGGUGGCGACACCACAGUCGAGUAUUACUAAUAGCCCGAGGCUUUCAUCAA
rnacentral:rRNA from 1 species